rnacentral:misc_RNA from 1 species
UGUGGGGCUGGGCCUUGUCAACCACGGGACGCCGGGCCGUUCCCAUUACAGCGAUCUCCGCGCGGGGUUUUGGUAUGCGUUCCGUUACUAGCCUCCUUUUGCUGCUGCCCGCGUGGCUCAACGCCGCGGAAUUGCCCUACUUUAGCGUUCUAUCGAGCGAUGCCGGGGCCUGGCCUUCUGUGCUCGCAUCCAUUGGAUUCGUCGAGCGGCCGGCGGUCCAGGCGAAGCUGUUCGUCGCCCGGGCCGGCGCCAGUGCGUCGCUCGAGUGGCAUGAACGGGUCGAGAAGGGCGCCGUUCUAAUCCUCGAAGGAGAAUCGUCCCUGGCGGAGAUGCUUGGCUUCGGGCGGGGAUCGGAGAAAGUCCGGGUCGCAAGCCUCAUCGAUUCCCAUCAACCUCAGCUGCCGAUCGUCUGGGAGACCGCGCUCGAGUUGCCUAAGCCGCGCUUGCCUGCCAACGCCACCGUUUUCACCAGGGAGCGGUGGACAGGCACGCCUAUGGUGGCUGGGGUCAGGCGCGGCGCCGGCGCUGUCCUCUGAAUCGCGGCGCCUCCGGGGGAGCGCGGACACGAGCGAUUCCCCUAUUUGCUCCAGGCGCUGACCGACCUCGACUCGAGGCGCCGUUUCGCUCCAACCGCCUCUGGGCCUUCUUUGACUACUCGUAUCGUACUAGAGUCGAUCUGGAUUAUUUCGCAGCCCGUUGGAGCAAGGCCGGCAUUUCCGGCCUACAUGUGGCCGCCUGGCAUUUCUACGAGCCCGACCCCGUUCGCGAUGCUUAUCUGAAGGCGGUUGAUCGAGGCCUGCCAUCGGUCCGGCAUCCUGGUGUACGCCUGGCUCGAACUGCCGCAUGUCAGCGAGGCGUUUUGGAACCGCCACCCAGAAUGGCGCGAGAAGACCGCCAUGCUGCAAGACGCGCACCUGGACUGGCGAAAGUUGAUGAACCUGAGCAAUCGCGACUGUUUCCGUGCCGUGGCUACCGGCGUCGGCUCUCUGCUUCAUCGCUUUGAUUGGGACGGAGUCAAUCUCGCGGAGCUGUACUUCGAAUCCCUGGAGGGAAUCGACAAUCCAUCCCGAUUCACCCCAAUGAAUGAAGACGUUCGAGCCGAAUCUCAAAGGUUGCUUGGGUUCGAUCCCCUCGAGCUUUUCGGCAAGCGAAAGGAUGCCGCUUCCCGGCGCUCGUUUCUCGAUUCCGGGGCGAUCUUGCUUUAAGGAUCGAGCAGGAGUGGAUUGCGGAACUGGACCGGAUGAGAAGGACACUCCCUCACCUGGAACUCGUCCUGACCCACGUCGACGACCGGUUGGACACCGGGAUGCGGGAUGCUAUUGGGGCCGACGCGGCUCGUAUUUUGCCCUUGCUCGGCAAGCACAACUUCACUUUCCUGGUGGAAAGAUCCAGCUACGGUGUGGCAUCUCGGAGCCAACCGUUAUCGUCAGAUUGCCGAGCGAUAUCAAGCUCUUACGGCGUUUCGCGACAGGUUGGCAAUCGACCUCAACAUCGUGGAGCGCUAUCAGAACGUCUACCCCACGCGUCAGCAAACCGGCAUCGAGUUCUUUCAGUUGGUUCACGAGGCCGCGGCUGGGUCGGACGAGUUGCGCUCUAUUUCGAGAAUUCGCUCCUUGCCCCGGAUCUCGGCCUUCUGCCGUCAGCCGCGGCGGCAGUGAGCCGGAUUGAGGCUGUCGGCGGAAAGUUGGUAGUCGAGUCGCUGAAUGGCGUGGGGAUUCCCUGGGUGGGAGGCGCCGUCGUGGAUGGCCAGUUGUGGCCGCUCGCGGAUUCGGAGACUCUUUGGCUCCCGCCUGGAGGACACGCCGUCGAGCGGGCGCCUAGGGAACCUCCGUUCCGCAUUGAGCGGUUCACCGGAAACAUCAGAUCGGCAAGUGUCGCCCCGAACGGGACGGUGGAACUCUCCUAUACCAGCGCCUCGCGUGCCAUCGCACUACUGAGCGGCGGCGUGCGGCGCGUUGAGGUGGAUGGAGAGGAGCAGGCUCCCGUUCCGGCCGGGCCGCGGGCCAUUUUCCUACCCCGUGGCCAGCACUUCGUUGCGCUCCUUCCCUCCUCCGAAGUUGAAGCAACCAAAGCCAUCCGUGACAAUCCUCAACGCUUGCGUUAGGAUGGCGGAUGGUCAAUGACGGAUGGCGCCUUACAAUCCGGCUCUCCGGAGAUUCCGGAUAAGCUGUACUUCAAGAUUGGAGAAGUCAGCGAACUGCUCAGCGUGGAGCCAUACGUUUUGCGCUACUGGGAAU